AGCGGCGGACGGGUGAGUAACGCGUGGGUAACCUGCCUUAUACUGGGGGAUAACGUUUUGAAAAGAACGCUAAUACCGCAUAAGCGCACAGCAUCGCAUGAUGCAGUGUGAAAAACUCCGGUGGUAUAAGAUGGACCCGCGUCAGAUUAGCUAGUUGGUGAGAUAAAAGCUCACCAAGGCAACGAUCUGUAGCCGACCUGAGAGGGUGAUCGGCCACAUUGGGACUGAGACACGGCCCAGACUCC
rnacentral:rRNA from 1 species